CAGCCGCCGCGGGAAUACAGAGGGUGCGAGCGUUAAUCGGAUUUACUGGGCGUAAAGCGUGCGCAGGCGGUUAUAUAAGACAGAUGUGAAAUCCCCGGGCUCAACCUGGGAACUGCAUUUGUGACUGUAUAGCUAGAGUACGGCAGAGGGGGAUGGAAUUCCGCGUGUAGCAGUGAAAUGCGUAGAUAUGCGGAGGAACACCGAUGGCGAAGGCAAUCCCCUGGGCCUGUACUGACGCUCAUGCACGAAAGCGUGGGGAGCAAACAGGAUUAGAUACCCCAGUAGUCCCUGUCUCUUAUAA
rnacentral:rRNA from 1 species